GAUCCCUAAACUUCUCUAUUUUUUUUAUUUUUUUCUCAUAUUUUUACUGACUUUUUUUCCUCCUUACUCUUAUUCUUGCUCCCUAUUUAUAGAUGAAUUGUUUACCUUUUUCUGAUCAUAAAAAGGAGUCCUAAAACCCUUAGAAUUUGUAGUAUACUGUAUGAAUUUUUUUGACCAUCGGAUUUCACUUGGACCACCCAAAUCGCUCCAAAAAAUGUUGUUUAAGUCCUUAUCACGAUCGAGAUCCACCACAGCCAUUGGAUCAAGC
rnacentral:lncRNA from 1 species